rnacentral:lncRNA from 1 species
UCUGGCACCAAUUUCUGUAUAUUGAACUGCCACCAAAACCAUUGACAGAAAUGGCACCUUCUGGGCAGAAUUUCAAAAAUAGCACUAUACAUGAAUUUUGCCCGAAAAUUAAUUAAAAAAAAUACCGAAUCCAACCUCAACUCCUUAUCUCAUUGUAAUGCCUCAUAAAUCAAGUAUUUUAUAGCAUAUACACAAUAAAUAUAGAGAUUUAGGCUGUGAUUUACAAACCCAUUUCAUAUUACUCUAACAUAUAUUCAACUCCAAUAUCCAUUCUUUCCUCCAAAUCUUUAAAGUUAGGCCACUAAUUACAAACCCAAAUCUAACAAUAUUGAAUAACAAUGAGUUUUCUUACCUCUUGGAAUAGAAUGGAAGAAAUGAACCUUGUACUGGAGUCCAUAUUUCAUCUUCUUCAAUAAUCUCUUUUUCCUUUCCUAUUUCCCAUUUUUUCUUAUCAUCUUCCCCCUUUUCUUUCUCUAUCUCUUCUUUCCUUCUCUACCUCCUUCUCGAUUAUUCUCUCAGCUUCUCCGCUCCUUUC